GUGGGGGAUAUUGCACAAUGGGGGAAACCCUGAUGCAGCGACGCCGCGUGAGGGAAGACGGCCUUCGGGUUGUAAACCUCUGUCUUCGGGGACGAACAAAUGACGGUACCCGAGGAGGAAGCCACGGCUAACUACGUGCCAGCAGCCGCGGUAAUACGUAGGUGGCAAGCGUUGUCCGGAAUUACUGGGUGUAAAGGGAGCGUAGGCGGGGAGGCAAGUUGAAUGUCUAAACUAUCGGCUCAACUGAUAGUCGCGUUCAAAACUGCCACUCUUGAGUGCAGUAGAGGUAGGCGGAAUUCCUAGUGUAGCGGUGAAAUGCGUAGAUAUUAGGAGGAACACCAGUGGCGAAGGCGGCCUACUGGGCUGUAACUGACGCUGAGGCUCGAAAGCGUGGGUAGCAAACAGGAUUAGAAACCCUAGUAGUCC
rnacentral:rRNA from 1 species